UCCCAGUUGACUAGUCCCAAAUAGGACGAAACUCGCGUCCUGGAU
rnacentral:hammerhead_ribozyme from 1 species